rnacentral:rRNA from 1 species
UACGUAGGUGGCAAGCGUUGUCCGGAAUUAUUGGGCGUAAAGCGCGCGCAGGCGGCUUCUUAAGUCUGAUGUGAAAUCUCGGGGCUCAACCCCGAGCGGCCAUUGGAAACUGGGAAGCUUGAGUACAGAAGAGGAGAGUGGAAUUCCACGUGUAGCGGUGAAAUGCGUAGAUAUGUGGAGGAACACCAGUGGCGAAGGCGACUCUCUGGUCUGUAACUGACGCUGAGGCGCGAAAGCGUGGGGAGCGAACAGG